GCGGCGGGGAAGCGCACCUCCGCCCGCUGUUAGGACUUGGUGACAACCGGCUCCAGGUGGGCAGCCCCGGGGAGGAGAAGAAAAACACGGAGGAGCCCAAACAGAGAGCAAGGACGGUCCUCCGCGACCUUGGCUAGAGAAAAACGAGAGCCUCUGAAAGCCAAUGCAAGAGCAGCCAAGCCAAAUGAGCUCGGUCCCACUCACCCUGCAGACGAGAGUGUAAACGGUGCCCUGGGAUCUCCCUUUGCUUCCCGUGUUCUCCCUGAUGUUCUUCUGGAAGCCACGCACAGGGGUCUGAAUGCGGAGGGUGACAGCUUCAUCUUGUUUCGUUCACUUUCGAUGCAUAAAGAGCUCUAGAGACUGUUUUCAAGGAGAAUCGACUCUCAGAUCUUCAUUCACACUGAGGUGUUGAUGACCGGUUACUGUCCAACACAGCUAUCCUCAUUAGAGUGUGAGAUGAAUUUUGAGAUGUUCUUCUAGGCUGGACAGAAGUUGCUGCAUGAGGAAGAAGAAUAUCUAUUUCUCUACCACCAUGGUUUGCCCUAAAGGAAGAAAACUCUGCAGCCCACCACGGGAAGCAGAGGAGUAGGUUUUAAGUACAAGGGAAUAAAACAGUCAUGAUUCUGUAUCUCUACACGUGGAUGGACAGCAGCUCACACUCUCCAAUCAGUAAGGAAUCUAUGAAAAUCUGAAUUUUCAUAGGGUCUGGUGAAAUGAAUUCAGCCGGGCUCAAGAUACACCACCCCCAAAUAUGGCACCUUGGAAUUCUGGCUAUUUUAAGCUGAAGAAAAAAGAAUGAAAAUAAAUACAAAGAGCAUCAGUGAGGUUUAGGACAACUUUGAGCAACCCGAUAUAUUUAUAGUUGCUCUCUCUGAAAGGGGGUGGGGGGGAAAUCUAUUUGAAGAAAUAAUGACAGAAAAACUUCCAAUUUGGUUAAACUAUAAACCCACAGAUCCAAAAAACUUAAUAAACCCCCAGUACAAGAAACAUGAAGAAAGCUACAUCUGCAAUGUUUCAAGUUGAGUAAAUAUGCAUUAUUUACCCUAUAUAUGUAAGGCUGGACAUAAAUUUAAAAUUAAGGGGGAAAAAAAUCUGUCCUCCACUAGCUAAGAAAACCUUAGUAGCCCCUUGACUGUCUUCCUGGGUAUAAUGGAGGACUCAAGAAAAUUCAAAAUAGUUUCUGUCUUCAAGUAGGUUUAAGCUACCUGGGUGCAUUAAUGUGGGAAACACUAUUCCUUAAAUCCACAAUAUCCAUUCUCUCUUCUUCCAUUGCUGGCAGACAACCCCUGGUUGUGUCCAAACAUCUGCCUCUUUUCCACACGACUCCAGAAGGAAAGACCCAUCUGCAGACCCAGGAAUAAAUGAGGGUCUGAUUCCCCUUGACAGUAAUUGACACGAGGGUGGCUCUCUGACCUAUUUCUGGCUAAGAGAUGUUGGGGGGAAAUGCACAGGAGGAUAUCUGAGAAAGAUUCUUGGCUUCCAAGCAAGGUUAAGAGGAAAAGACAAUCUCUUUGUCCUUUGGACUCUGAAAUGCCUGAUGCCUGGAACUUCUGUACUCAAUUUGUGACUAAGCUGGGCCAGUCUGAGGUCAGAGUCAACAACAUCUUGAGGACGACAGAACAGUGGAAAGAAUCUGGAUCUUUGAUGAUGUUACUGAGCUGCUGAAUUAAGCAACUCUGAAGCUUCCAUACCAGUGAACUUCUUCUUGUAUGACAUAGUACAUUUCCUUACUGUUGAAUUCAAAUUAAGUUUUAUGUUCCUUGUAGCUCCAAAUACUCUGUUAGCACUAACUAAAUACAUGACUCAUUCUGCCACGGAAAGUGAAGGACAUAGACAAAAUAAAUUCUACAGUUACUUUUGGCCCUAACCAACCCACCUUAAAUGUAACUGAUUAAUCUAGGCAGUCAGUAAUAACUAUCAUGUGUGUGACUCAGAAAAUAGGUGCUCCAUGACUCAGCAUUCAUCUUCCAGGGAUAGACUCAAGAGAAACCAGUGCAUAUAUCCACCAAAGGACAUACAAAUAGGUGCACAGAAACUUUAUUCAUCAUAGCUCAAGUCUGGAAACCCCACAUCCGGAUUCGCCAGAGAAACAGAAUGACGAGGUUCUAUACAUUCAUAUAUUAAGAAAUUGAAGGGGUGUCUGGGUGGCUCAGUCGGUUAAGCAUUUGCCUUCAGCUCAGGUCAUGAUCCCAGGGCCCUGGGAUUGAGCCCCGCAUUGGGCUCUCCGCUUAGCAG